rnacentral:rRNA from 1 species
AUUAGUUAGUUGGUGAGGUAACGGCUCACCAAGGCGACGAUCUAUAGGGGUUCUGAGAGGAUGAUCCCCCACACUGGCACUGAGAUACGGGCCAGACUCCUACGGGAGGCAGCAGUAGGGAAUAUUGGUCAAUGGGCGAGAGCCUGAACCAGCCAUGCCGCGUGCAGGAAGACGGCCUUCUGGGUUGUAAACUGCUUUUAUAUGGGAAGAAAAAGGUCUUGCGAGACAAAUUGCCGGUACCAUAUGAAUAAGCACCGGCUAACUCCGUGCCAGCAGCCGCGGUAA